UGCUUGUUUUUGUUUUGCAGGUAC
rnacentral:siRNA from 1 species